rnacentral:rRNA from 1 species
AUUGAACGCUGGCGGCAGGCCUAACACAUGCAAGUCGAGCGGAUGAAGGGAGCUUGCUCCUGGAUUCAGCGGCGGACGGGUGAGUAAUGCCUAGGAAUCUGCCUGGUAGUGGGGGAUAACGUCCGGAAACGGGCGCUAAUACCGCAUACGUCCUGAGGGAGAAAGUGGGGGAUCUUCGGACCUCACGCUAUCAGAUGAGCCUAGGUCGGAUUAGCUAGUUGGUGGGGUAAAGGCCUACCAAGGCGACGAUCCGUAACUGGUCCGAGAGGAUGAUCAGUCACACUGGAACUGAGACACGGUCCAGACUCCUACGGGAGGCAGCAGUGGGGAAUAUUGGACAAUGGGCGAAAGCCUGAUCCAGCCAUGCCGCGUGUGUGAAGAAGGUCUUCGGAUUGUAAAGCACUUUAAGUUGGGAGGAAGGGCGGUAAGUUAAUACCUUGCUGUUUUGACGUUACCAACAGAAUAAGCACCGGCUAACUUCGUG